CGCCGUGCCCUCAGGGUCCAGUUUUCCCAGGAAUCCCUUAGGCGCUACGUUGGGGAUUCCUGGAAAUACUG
rnacentral:pre_miRNA from 14 species